AACGCAUAUUGCGCCCUUUGGUAUUCCGAAGGGCAUGCCUGUUCGAGCGUCAUUAUCACCCCUCAAGCCCGGCUUGCUGUUGGACGUCGUCCCCGGUUCACCCCGGGGGCCCGCCCCAAAGAUAAUGACGGCGCCUGUGAGGACUCCGGUACACUGAGCUUUCGGGCACGUACUCGGCUAGAAGUCCAGGCCCGUUGCAAACUUUUUAAUUAAAUUUAAUCAAGGUUGACCUCGGAUCAGGUAGGAAUACCCGCUGAACUUAA
rnacentral:misc_RNA from 1 species